AACGCGAAGAACCUUACCAGGUCUUGACAUCCCUCUGACCGCUCUAGAGAUAGAGUUUUCCUUCGGGACAGAGGUGACAGGUGGUGCAUGGUUGUCGUCAGCUCGUGUCGUGAGAUGUUGGGUUAAGUCCCGCAACGAGCGCAACCCCUAUUGUUAGUUGCCAUCAUUCAGUUGGGCACUCUAGCGAGACUGCCGGUAAUAAACCGGAGGAAGGUGGGGAUGACGUCAAAUCAUCAUGCCCCUUAUGACCUGGGCUACACACGUGCUACAAUGGUUGGUACAACGAGUCGCAAGCCGGUGACGGCAAGCUAAUCUCUUAAAGCCAAUCUCAGUUCGGAUUGUAGGCUGCAACUCGCCUACAUGAAGUCGGAAUCGCUAGUAAUCGCGGAUCAGCACGCCGCGGUGAAUACGUUCCCGGGCCUU
rnacentral:rRNA from 1 species